rnacentral:lncRNA from 1 species
CUGGGCUGGCUGCCUGUGUCCUGUCUGUGCUGCACCUCAGAAGCUGAAGACUCACUGUCAUAGAAAACAGGAUCUGACUGGUUAGGUAUUCGUUUCCGAUCUGCUCCACUGCUUGUUUCAUGAGGGUUUAUUGCAAUGGUCCAGCAUAACUGGGCACUUGUACAGCUCCUGGUAUGGCUGGCAGUAUCUGAGACUCUUGCAACCUUCCAACGUAUGCCGCUGUAAAGCUGAAAGGUGAUUUAUUGCAGUUGUACAAAGAAAGAGCAGAAAUGCAUCAAAGCUUGUGCUUAUAUGAUGAGAAGCGAGAAGAAAUACAAACUGAUUCUCUAGUGUCAAGGUGCGCACCUGGAGACCAGAAGAACAAUGAAGAGUUAAAAAGGAAGAAGUCAGAAGUUGUUUAAAGAAGACAGUGUGU